GAAAAAAGAAGAGCAAUUCCAAGGAGUGAAAUGGUCCAAAGGUCUAAAAGGAUCUAUGAGCAGCUUCCAGAGGUGAAGAAGAAGAGGGAGGAGGAGAAGAGAAGGCUGGAAUACAACUCGUACCGCCUGAAAGCACAGCUCUAUAAAACAAAAAUCACCAACCACGUCUUAGGGAAGAAGGUGCCUUGGGACUGAUGGGAAUGACCCCUUCAAACCACCCUGGGACGUUCCAGCCCUGGAG